rnacentral:RNase_P_RNA from 1 species
GGAGUGGGCGAAGGCGAUCGCGCGUGCGCGGGCGUCCGUCGAUUGGCGUCCCCAUUGGGGCCGAGCGAACGGCGGUACGUUUGCGGGCGUGAGGAAAGUCCGGACUGGGUAGGGUGCGGUGGUUGGUAACGCCAACCCGGCGCGAGCCGAGGGAAAGUGCCACAGAAAAGAUACCGCCCCGAAGACGCCCGAAUGUGACGACACCGGAGGGUCGAGACCACAGCGGUCUUGGCUCGACGGUGGCCGCACGCUUUGGCGGAUUUCGAGGUAAGGGUGAAAUGGUGCGGUAAGAGCGCACCGCGCGGACGGUGACGUCCGUGGCAGGGUAACCCCACCGCCAGCAAGCCCAAAUAGGCGGCGAGAGGCGUCCCGUCUCGAUUCCUCCGGGAUGAAGCCGCGGGUAGGGUGCACGAGUCGGCGGGUGACCGCCGGCCUAGAUAAAUGACCGCCCCUUCGCGUUCGCGUGAAGGACAGAAUCCGGCUUAUCCGCCCGCUCCACCU